rnacentral:rRNA from 1 species
CAAUAUAAGUGAUGGCGACCGGCGCACGGGUGAGUAACACGUAUCCAACCUGCCGAUAACUCGGGGAUAGCCUUUCGAAAGAAAGACUAAUACCCGAUGGUAUAAUAAAACCGCAUGGUUUAAUUAUUAAAGAAUUUCGGUUAUCGAUGGGGAUGCGUUCCAUUAGGCAGUUGGUGAGGUAACGGCUCACCAAACCUUCGAUGGAUAGGGGUUCUGAGAGGAAGGUCCCCCACAUUGGAACUGAGACACGGUCCAA